AGUAAGGCAUUGCCCUUUCUGAUAGUUCUGACGUUCAGUUGGAAAUCUCUGUUGGGAUCAGAAGAAAUCUCAACUGGGAAGAGAAGGGGACGCUAUGAUGGAAGACGUUGGACAGAAUCCACUGGAUGAUGUGUAGCAGACGAUAUAAUUACCAGCAUUAGAAGCUGUAAAACAGAACCUUGACUGCCUGAAUUCAGACCUUGAAAAGGACCUGCAGAAACUGGAUAUGGAGAAUCAGGUUCUCCUUAGAAAGAUUAAAGAGAAAGAAGAAACUAUUUCAAGGAGAAAAGUAACGCAAUCCUAAGCAGGAAUGUGGUGGAGGUUCAGAAAAAGAUUUCAGGGUUAUUUACAAAUAUUGGCCUUGAAGAAGAAACCACAAAGCAGAUCCUGGAGGAAAUGAAGGCAAGACUACAGAAGUCAACAGAGUCCUGUGCAAAGCAAGAGGAGGAACUGGCCAAGGCAGAGGCAAUGUCUCUUCCACUGAGGGUCUGCCCGGGAUAGAAUGGGAGAGAAUCCCAAGGGUCUUAGAAACAGAUCUGCUUGAGGCAUAGGAGGGGGAGAAAUACCAGGAAGUUCUGAGGAAGAUGAAAGAGGAAAAGGAGACGCUGCUUCUUGAAAAACAAAUAUCCAAAGCCCAGGAUGACUCCUCUCAAACAGUGAAACCGGGAUCAAUUUUGGCAGACACCACCCAAAGAAACAUGGAGAGGACCACCAUUAAGAAACAGGAGAGAAGGUGUUGGUACAAGUAAGCGGAAGAAUCUUGCUUUUACCUAGCCUAGACCACAUUUCACUCUACACAUUACCUGAUAAGGGCCAAAAGAACAAGAAUAAACACAUCAUCCACUGAUCAGAAUACA
rnacentral:lncRNA from 1 species